rnacentral:rRNA from 1 species
CAGCAGCCGCGGGAAAACGUAGGUGGCAAGCGUUGUCCGGAAUUAUUGGGCGCAAAGGGCUCGCAGGCGGUUUCUUAAGUCUGAUGUGAAAGCCCCCGGCUCAACCGGGGAGGGUCAUUGGAAACUGGGAAACUUGAGUGCAGAAGAGGAGAGUGGAAUUCCACGUGUAGCGGUGAAAUGUGUAGAGAUGUGGAGGAACACCAGUGGCGAAGGCGACUCUCUGGUCUGUAACUGACGCUGAGGAGCGAAAGCGUGGGGAGCGAACAGGAUUAGAUACCCCAGUAGUCCCUGUCUCUUAUAC